CCUUUUCCUCAGCUGCCGCCAAGGUGCUCGGUCCUUCCGAGGAAGCUAAGGCCGCGUUGGGGUGAGGCCCUCACUUCAUCCGGCGACUAGCACCGCGUCCGGCAGCGCCAGCCCUACACUCGCCCGCGCCAUGGCCUCUGUCUCCGAGCUCGCCUGCAUCUACUCGGCCCUCAUUCUGCACGACGAUGAGGUGACAGUCACGGAGGAUAAGAUCAAUGCCCUCAUUAAAGCAGCCGGUGUAAAUGUUGAACCUUUUUGGCCUGGCUUGUUUGCAAAGGUAAGGUGAUGGUGGCAAAGUGAUGUGGUAAGGCCUGCUGAUUUACGAGGGCAGGUGUACAUGCUAAAGUACCCCCAGCGGUGCCAUAACGCCCCACAUGCCGCUGGAUCUCCUAGGUGUUUUUCGUUGCAUGUAUAUCUCUAGGAGCUAAUAAGAUUUCAGCUUGUCAAGUCUUAUGUUUCCUUAUCAGACUCUGGUUUCCCUUUUGCUCUGAAACCAUGGUUAAAAAAAAAUGUGAAUCAGGUCAUUUAUUCCCAAAAAGGGUCAUUCGGGAGAUAGGUACUACGCAUGUUAAGUUGCAAGCAAAUUCUUUUUCUUUUUCUUUUUUUUUUCUUGAGACGGAGUCACCCAGGCUGGAAUGCAGUGGUGCGAUCUCAGCUCACUGCAAGCUCCGCCUCCCGGGUUCACGCCAUUAUCCUGCCUCAGCUUCCCGAGUAGCUGGGACUACAGGCGUGCGCCACCAUACCUGGCUAAUUUGUGUGUGUGUGUUUAGUAGUGACGGGGUUUCACCAUGUUAGCCAGGAUGGUCUCGAUCUCCUGACCUCGUGAUCCCCCCGCCUCUGCCUCCCAAAGUGCUGAGAUUACAGGCUUGAGCCACCGCUCCUGGCCCGCAAGCAAAUUCCUUCAGUAAAUUCUUGCGUUAAACCUACGGUUUGAUGGACAUUUGGGUUUAGCGGACUUCAUUGACACAGUAGGUACUGUGUGUUGGGAUAUAAAAGACUAAUAAAGAGGUUCCUGGUCAUGGAGCUUGCACUGGCUAUUUUCCGUUGUACAGGUUACUUAAUCUCUGUCAAGUGAAGCUAAUAGCAUCUAACUCCAGGGUUGUGUCCUCUAAAGAGUUUUGAAAGAUUGAAAACAUUGUACCUAUGUCAUCUUUAACAAGCCCCUUUUGAAGUCCCAUAUUUGUUUAGUAGACUGAAAAUUUGAAUUCACUGUUAAGAGGAGACAUGAAACUGGAAAGAAUAUUCAUUUGAGUGUUUCAGGAAGUUUGGAUUUUUUUUUUUACCAACAUAUUAUUUGUAAAAGGAGGGAAAUCAGCUGCCUCAGGAGGUUCUUAACAUAUAGGAAUGUAAUUAUCAGAUUCAAAGCUGAACAGUAGUGCGUUGCCCUGUAACCUAAGUCUUGGCUGUUAGCAAAGAAAAGCCAGUGUCUGGGGUAUUGGUUCCAGGACCUUCCACUAAUAACAAAAUCCCAGGAUGUUCCAUCUCUUAUAUAAAUGUAUUUGCAUAUAACCUAUGCACAUCCUCCUGUAUACUUUAGAAGUCUACAUGUUUGGUACACAUGCUUAUUUUUCCACUGUUGAAUCCAUGGAUGUGGAACUCACUGUAUAUAGUGUUAGGGGUUGAUCACUGUAACCUGGAAUGGGGGAUGCUUUUCGUUUUUGGCUGCGUGAGUGCUUAACAAGGACAGAACUGGGCGUUUACCUAUGCAUGCACAUGUAUUGCAGGCCCUGGCCAACGUCAACAUUGGGAGCCUCAUCUGCAAUGUAGGGGCCGGUGGACCUGCUCCAGCAGCUGGUGCUGCACCAGCAGGAGGUCCUGCCCCCUCCACUGCUGCUGCUCCAGCUGAGGAGAAGAAAGUGGAAGCAAAGAAAGAAGAAUCCGAGGAGUCUGAUGAUGACAUGGGCUUUGGUCUUUUUGACUAAACCUCUUUUAUAACGUGUUCAAUAAAAAGCUAAACUUUA
rnacentral:sRNA from 1 species